rnacentral:rRNA from 1 species
GACGAACGCUGGCGGCGUGCUUAACACAUGCAAGUCGAACGGAAAGGCCCUGCUUUUGUGGGGUGCUCGAGUGGCGAACGGGUGAGUAACACGUGAGUAACCUGCCCUUGACUUUGGGAUAACUUCAGGAAACUGGGGCUAAUACCGGAUAGGAGCUCCUGCUGCAUGGUGGGGGUUGGAAAGUUUCGGCGGUUGGGGAUGGACUCGCGGCUUAUCAGCUUGUUGGUGGGGUAGUGGCUUACCAAGGCUUUGACGGGUAGCCGGCCUGAGAGGGUGACCGGCCACAUUGGGACUGAGAGACGGCCCAGACUCCUACGGGAGGCAGCAGUGGGGAGUAUUGCACAGUGGGCGGAAGCCUGAUGCAGCAACGCCGCGUGCGGGAUGACGGCCUUCGGGUUGUAACCCGCUUUCGCCUGUGACGAAGCGUGAGUGACGGUAAUGGGUAAAGAAGCACCGGCUACCUACGU